rnacentral:pre_miRNA from 1 species
CAAAUACUCCCUCUGUCCGGAAAUACUUGUCAUCAAAAUGGAUAAAAGGAAAUGUAUCUAGACAUAUUUUAGUUUUAGAUACAUCUCUUUUUAUCCAUUUUGAUGACAAGUAUUUUCGGAUGGAGGGAGUAGAAA